rnacentral:rRNA from 1 species
GACGAACGCUGGCGGCGUGCUUAACACAUGCAAGUCGAACGAAGUGGCGAACGGGUGAGUAACGCGUAAUCAACAUGCCCUUCAGAGGGGGACAACAGUUGGAAACGACUGCUAAUCCCGCAUACUGAAGGAGGGGAUUGCGUCUGAUUAGCGAGUUGGAGGGGUAACGGACCACCAAGGCGAUGGUCCUUAGCCGGUCUGAGAGGGUGAACGGGCACAAUGGGACUGAGACACGGGCCAAACUCCUACGGGAGGCAGCAGUGGGGAAGUUUCCGAAAUGGACGAAAGGCUGACGGAGCAACGCCGCGUGAGUGAUGACGGCCUUCGGGUUGUAAAGCUCUGUUAAUCGGGACGCGGUACCGGAAUAGAAAGCCACGGCUAACUACGUGCCAGCCGCCGCGGUAAUUC